AGUGAACGCUGGCGGUAGGCCUAACACAUGCAAGUCGAACGGCAGCACAGUAAGAGCUUGCUCUUACGGGUGGCGAGUGGCGGACGGGUGAGGAAUACAUCGGAAUCUACUUUUUCGUGGGGGAUAACGUAGGGAAACUUACGAUAAUACCGCAUACGACCUACGGGUGAAAGCAGGGGAUCUUCGGACCUUGCGCGAUUGAAUGAGCCGAUGUCGGAUUAGCUAGUUGGCGGGGUAAAGGCCCACCAAGGCGACGAUCCGUAGCUGGUCUGAGAGGAUGAUCAGCCACACUGGACCUGAGACACGGUCCAGACUCCUACGGGAGGCAGCAGUGGGGAAUAUUGGACAAUGGGCGCAAGCCUGAUCCAGCCAUACCGCGUGGGUGAAGAAGGCCUUCGGGUUGUAAAGCCCUUUUGUUGGGAAAGAAAAGCAGCAGGUUAAUACCCCGCUGUUCUGACGGUACCCAAAGAAUAAGCACCGGCUAACUUCGUG
rnacentral:rRNA from 1 species